CCUACGGGUGGCAGCAGUGGGGAAUAUUGCACAAUGGGGGAAACCCUGAUGCAGCGACGCCGCGUGAGUGAAGAAGUAUUUCGGUAUGUAAAGCUCUAUCAGCAGGGAAGAAAAUGACGGUACCUGAUUAAGAAGCCCCGGCUAACUACGUGACAGCAGCCGCGGUAAUACGGAGGGGGCAAGCGUUAUCCGGAUUUAAGGGGUGGAAAGGGAGCGUAGACGGCAGCACAAGUCUGGAGUGAAAUGCCGGGGCUUAACCCCGGAACUGCUUUGGAAAAGGUGCAGCUAGAGUGCAGGAGAGGUAAGUGGAAGUCCUAGUGUAGCGGUGAAAUGCGUCGAUAUUAGGAGGAACACCAGUGGCGAAGGCGGCUUACUGGACUGUAACUGACGUUGAGGCUCGAAAGCGUGGGGAGCAAACAGGAUUAGAUACCCCUGUAGUC
rnacentral:rRNA from 1 species